UACGUAGGGGGCUAGCGUUGUCCGGAAUCAUUGGGCGUAAAGAGCGUGUAGGCGGUCCGGUAAGUCCGCUGUGAAAGUCGGGGGCUCAACCCUCGAAUGCCGGUGGAUACUGUCGGGCUAGAGUGCGGAAGAGGCGGGUGGAAUUCCUGGUGUAGCGGUGAAAUGCGCAGAUAUCAGGAGGAACACCAAUUGCGAAGGCAGCUCGCUGGGACGUAACUGACGCUGAGACGCGAAAGCUAGGGUAGCGAACGGG
rnacentral:rRNA from 1 species